rnacentral:lncRNA from 1 species
UGAAGCUUCCACUGAAGAUAGAGACAAGUGAUGUCAUCCGAGAAGUAAAUCACCAGUCAAGGUGACAUUGAAGGCUAUCCAUCAUAUUUUAUAACCCAAAUGCUGCCAUUGGGUACAUAUUUUCUGUUUUGGGCAAAGACAACCCGGACUGGGUUUCUUUGUAAGAAAAGCAAUCUUCUCACACUUUGAACGCAAGUGGCUGACUUGUAAGCUCAUAGGAGUCCCAGAAAGAAGCCUGGAAAACCUUGACUUCUUCUCUGACCCUCGACCAAACACAAGCUCACAAGUCAUCGGACAAGACAGAUCUAUUGGUGCGGUUGAUUCAAGAUAGCACCCUAGACCUUGGAAUAGAGUGGUGAAGACUCAAGAGUUAAGGUGUCAAGAUGAAAAAGAGAAGGUGGCUUUGGUGACAAGAGAAAGAGCUACAGCAUCAAGAACUGAUUUAGGAUGCACUAGCUUGCUAGGUGAGGAGAAGCAAUGCUCAGAAAAACAUCUGACAGCAUGGUUUCUGUCUUAACUGGGUAGUGUGAAC